ensembl:lncRNA
GGGAACUGUAGGUGGGAACGGUCAGGUUCUUCACAGGGAAGGUUUUCAGUGUAACACAGUCUGGAUCUGAACAGAUAAGAGAUGGUUUGAUCAGCAGAUGUUUGAGAGCUUUCCUCUCAUCUGCAGGAGUCCUGAUCAUCCUGAAGAUCAUCGAGAAACAUCAAUCAUGGACUGAUCGCUGAGGAUCCCCUCUGACUCACAGACGUCUCUCUCCGUUCUGCCUCCAGUUUCCUGUGAAGUCACAGCUGUGUGGGAAAAUGUCCAGUCAUCACUUCACUCACGGAAACACAGAGCUCGACGUGAAGCUGGAAGAUCCACAUCUGUCCCUCGAGAUGCUCCAGAACAUGUGAGAGUGAAGAUACACACACAACAACCACACAGUGACAUUAUAAGAGUUUUCAUUCCUGUGACACACACACACACACACACACACACACACACACACAAUCUCCAGAUGUUGUUGGUAGUCAAAUAUCUCACAGCCAGUUGUUUCAGUCUCUCUCUCUCUAUCUCUCUGUGUGUGUGUGUGUGUGUGUGUGUGUACAAUGGAUAUUCACUAUGUUAUGAGGAGCAAAGGACAUUUGUUGGUUUUCCUGAGGAAACAAGCUUAAAAAAUCAGACAGAAGUGUUUUUAGAAUCUGAAAAUGGCUGUAGUUUUGUGUGAGGGGUAGGUUUAGGGGUAAGGGGAUAGAAAAUACAGUUUGUACAGUAGAAAAAAAAAACAUUAUGCAUAUGGAAUAACCCCCAAAAAACAUGGAAACAUAAAGUGUGUAUGCCACAAUAUCACAGUUAUUCUAGUUAUUUAUUAUUAGUAAAACUGGUUUGAGACACCAGUGGCAUCAGACAAAUACACUGAUAGAGACUCUGUUCAUUCAGCAUCAUGUGACUCAAACUGUUUUAAUGGCAUUGCAUUAUAAACACAUAGACAUUAAUAUGGAGUUGGUCGCCCCUUUGCACCUAUAACAGCUUCACUCUUCUGGAAACGCUUUCCAUGAGAUUUUGCUGUAUUUUGCUUCAUGCUGGAAUAGAAACAAAAGGCUCUUCCCCGAACUGAUCCCACAAGGUUGGAAGCACAGCAUUGUCCAGAACGUCUUGAUUUCCCUUCAUCAGCCCAGUCUCUGAAAACAGCCCCACCAUCAUCCCUCCUUCACCAAACUCUACAGUCGACACAAUGCAGUCAGACAUGAUGUUCUCCUGAUUUCAUCAAACCCAGACACACUCAUCAGACUGCAGUGUGCUUGAUCUCCUCAGAACAGGUUUCUGCUGCUCCAGAGUCCAGUAUCUGUGUGCUUUACUCACUCCAUCCCACGCUGGUCACUGUACUGCUGAUGUGAGGCUUUAAACCCAUUCAUGAAGCUCCCGCUGCUCAGUAUUUGUGCUGAUAUUAAAGCUAGAGGAGGUCUGGAAUCAGCAGAGUGCUGGCUUUUCCUCUUCAUGUGUCUCAUCACUCAGUGACUCUGUGUUUUACGCUGUCUUUAUGAAUUACUGCGGUUCCCAAACGCUCCUGCUUUCCAGUAAUACCAGUUACAGUUGAGUGAGGAAUAUCUACCACCCAUUUCUUUCACAAGUGUUUGUAAAUGCAGGCUGCAUGACUAGUGCUCGAGUUUAUAAAACUGUGGCAAUGGAUCUGAUCGAAACACCUGUUCAAUAAUGAAGAGGAGUAUCCCAGCACUUUUUUCCAUAUAGUGAAGAUGGAGGUGGUUUGUUGGAUAGUUGGACUCUGUUCUCAUGUGAAUUGUUGGGUAGAUUUCAGGUCAUGUAUUUUUGGAUCGUCUGGCAGAUUGUUGGGUAGUUUAUCUGAUUAUCAAGUUCAACAAUUUCAAAAGGUAAUAAUUGACUCUUAAAUGAAGUUCAACUAUUUUAAAAUGAACAUUUGUAAAUAAAGUUGGCUUAACA